CAAUAGCGUAUAUUAAAGUUGUUGCAGUUAAAAAGCUCGUAGUUGGAUUUCUGGUUGAAGCGACCGGUCGGGCGUUGAUUCGUCUGCACUGGAGUCGGUUUUGGCCAUCCUCUAGGAAAGUGCGUCUGGUAUUAAGUUAUCGGGCGUAUGAUCCUGGUCUUUUACUGUGAAAAAAUUAGAGUGUUUAAAGCAGGCCUUCGCCUUGAAUACAUUAGCAUGGAAUAAUAAGAUAGGACUUUGGUCUAUUUUGUUGGUUUGCAGACCGAAGUAAUGAUUAAUAGGGAUAGUUGGGGGCACCUGUAUUGCGUUGUCAGAGGUGAAAUUCUUGGAUUUACGCAAGACAAACAGCUGCGAAAGCGUCUGCCAAGGAUGUUUNCAUUAA
rnacentral:rRNA from 1 species